AAAAUCACCUCACCAUCACCUGUGGAAUUCCAUCAUAUAUGGCAUGAUUUCUUUCUUCCUUUUGUAGAGAAGAGCCCAAGAGAGAAUUCGUGCCACAGUGACCCUGCUGUGCCCUAUGUUUAUUCGGCAGUAAUCCUCGGGGAAAGGAUUUUGAAAAUGUAUUAAAGCUAGCACCGAGAACGAGUGUUAUUUUGAAGAAGUUACUGCUCCUUAACGUUCUAUUUUAAGUAGAUAUUAUAGGUGUGAUUCCUUUUAAAACAAAAGAAAAAAGGAGAGCUGUGUUUGAUUUUACAAAUGGAAGGUUUUGUUCCUGAUACCGAAUCGCAUUAUUCAUUUACCUUGGCCCUGUCGGUGUUUGAUAGGGGUUUUUUCCCCUCCUUUUCACUCAACAACAACAAUAAUAGUAUGAGAUCUCGGACUAAGAUUCUGACGAAACAGAAAAGGGGAUGUGAGCAUCCUAGAUCCAGCUUUAUGAAGCAAUGCCCACACACAUCUCACCCCCUUGGUUAAUCGAGAUGAUUAAGCUCCUCAAGCUUGAAUCUACAGGGAAGUUGUAACCAUGCAGUUCCCACAUGAACAAAUAUUGGCGCUUCCACCAAGAAUCCCCAAAACCAGUUACAAAGUGAAGAGCUCAGACCUACAAAAGUGUGGACCCAGAGGGCAGACGGGACCACAAGAAGACCAUUUUUGCAACCUUCUCAAGCCUGCGGGGUUCUCAAGAGUCUGGAAAGGUGUGAUUUUUCCAAAGGGGACCAGGACGUCUAUCGUCUCGAAAAGUGUUCAACCGGCUCAGUUGCCCUUGUCCUAAGGGUCGGGAACCAGAAUUUGGCGAGCCGUCGGCCUGUGCGUGGGGACGCUAUCUACAAAACCCAUUGUGGAGCAAGUCCUGUAGCUCUCAUAGGCCCUGUCUGUAUUUCUUCAACGUAGGCUCUUGGAGAAUGACCUCUCUCCCCUAGAUUCCUUAUUUUUAACCUAUCUUUUUUUCCCAUGAUAGUAAGUGCCUUUCUCGUUUAAUUUUCCAUCUUUUCAUCUACACUCAGAGGACACCGAGGAAUGGAGACAGAGCCUCUCUAAGCAAAGAUAGGAGGCCAAAAACUGUU
rnacentral:lncRNA from 1 species